UGCCGUCCGCAUUGGGGAGCUCCGCCACACCAUCGUCCUAAUCCUUGUGCGACUAGCUGGCUUGGCUCAACUCAAGUACUCAACCCAGCCUCUCUGACUUGAGAGGAGGCUGCCUGCGCUCGUUAAAACUCGUAUUCGAGUUCUCUGAGCAGGCAACUCACUCUCCCACUCUUGGUGGUUUCAUCUCCUCCUAGAAUUCGUAUUGGAGUCCCUCUCUCGUUGGGAUGCAGAAUGGAAUGGGUAGCCUCUCCCACGGUAGCGCGGCGCGACCAUGGUCAGGUUGAAGGUGGCCGCGGGCUCACUCCUGGAGUCUAGAAAUAGUUGCUCUGCCUCGGUUCUGACUCUAGAUGCAAUUGCUCUGCCUCUGUUCUUGCGUGGCCGGGAAGUUCACUCAAUCCUCAGCUUCAGGUUUCAUUCAGCAAGUAGAGAAUGUGAUCUAUCAACCUUGAGGCCUUAGCUGGAAUCUGAACCCUGAGCCCUCAGCCUCACGCAUGCUCAGCCCUCAUACAUGCAGGUCAUGGGCGCUGCAUAUUGAUAUUUUACAUUCAUCUUUUUGAUUGAUGCACCUCACACAUGCGCUUCCAAAUUUUUGAAUUGAACCCUGAUCUGAAACUUUCGGUUUCUUCCAAGCUCAACCUGAUCCGGAAGAGUCCAUUUGUACAUGGAAAAAGGAAAAGGAUUUUGGUCCUGCUGUUUGUGUACCCAUGCGCUUUGGCAUGGUCCCGAAGAAAGGACCAGCUAGAGACCUCCGUCACGCAAUCCGUCUCGGCCGUGACUAUGGCAUGGUCCAAGGUUGUUGCUCUGUUGUUUCUUGGUGGAAGGUUCGCCGCGGCCCGCGGCAGCAGACUGCACCACGGCCUGUGGCCAUUGGCGUCAAGGGGGAGCAGCAGACUGAACGUACAAGUUGGGAUACUGAUGGUGCGACCUGUUAGAUAAGCCAAGCAACAACGGUCAAAAUAUCAUUCCUCAUGCUUUCUUCGUCACAGAUGGAGUAGCACAACGCUCCGUAGCGGAAUGAAAGGCAGACAUGCAGCUUGCAUGGCUUGUCAUGUAUCAGGUACCAAUCUGUGUCAAAAAAAAAAAAAAGUAUCAGGUACCAAUCGACCAGAUUUACAAACCACCAAGUACACAAAAAUUAAAGAGGAAAUGGCACUAAGAAAGGUGGCAUGCGUAACUCUUUUCCUGAGAGUUUUUGAGAGCUUUUGCUUGUGUAAUAAGACUUUUGUAAAGUCUACUUGUUUCCUCUCAAGAAUGAGCUUUCUCUGGUAGUCUCGUCUCCAGAUGUUA